rfam:Bhargavaea cecembensis DSE10 contig000002, whole genome shotgun sequence.
ACGGUGUUCCGCUGCAAAGGCAAUUUGUGCAUGAGCAUCUG